AUUGAACGCUGGCGGCAGGCCUAACACAUGCAAGUCGAACGAGUGGCGGACGGGUGAGUAAUGUCUGGGAAACUGCCUGAUGGAGGGGGAUAACUACUGGAAACGGUAGCUAAUACCGCAUACCAUCGGAUGUGCCCAGAUGGGAUUAGCUAGUGGGUGGGGUAACGGCUCACCAAGGCCACGAUGCAUAGCCGACCUGAGAGGGUGACCGGCCACACUGGGACUGAGACACGGCCCAGACUCCUACGGGAGGCAGCAGUGGGGAAUUUUGGACAAUGGGGGAAACCCUGAUCCAGCCAUCCCGCGUGUGCGAUGAAGGCCUUCGGGUUGUAAAGUACUUUCAGCGAGGAGGCGUUACUCGCAGAAGAAGCACCGGCUAACUCCGUGCCAGCAGCCGCGGUAAUUC
rnacentral:rRNA from 1 species